AACGAGUUCUGAUUAUUGAAAGGUGCUUGCAUCUUGAUUUAAUUUUGAACGAGUGGCGGACGGGUGAGUAACACGUGGGUAACCUGCCCUUAAGUGGGGGAUAACAUUUGGAAACAGAUGCUAAUACCGCAUAAAUCCAAGAACCGCAUGGUUCUUGGCUGAAAGAUGGCGUAAGCUAUCGCUUUUGGAUGGACCCGCGGCGUAUUAGCUAGUUGGUGAGGUAACGGCUCACCAAGGCAAUGAUACGUAGCCGAACUGAGAGGUUGAUCGGCCACAUUGGGACUGAGACACGGCCCAAACUCCUACGGGAGGCAGCAGUAGGGAAUCUUCCACAAUGGACGCAAGUCUGAUGGAGCAACGCCGCGUGAGUGAAGAAGGCUUUCGGGUCGUAAAACUCUGUUGUUGGAGAAGAAUGGUCGGCAGAAUAACUGUUGUCGGCGUGACGGUAUCCAACCAGAAAGCCACGGCUAACUACGUGCCAGCAGCCGCGGUAAUACGUAGGUGGCAAGCGUUAUCCGGAUUUAUUGGGCGUAAAGCGAGCGCAGGCGGUUUUUUAAGUCUGAUGUGAAAGCCCUCGGCUUAACCGAGGAAGUGCAUCGGAAACUGGGAAACUUGAGUGCAGAAGAGGACAGUGGAACUCCAUGUGUAGCGGUGAAAUGCGUAGAUAUAUGGAAGAACACCAGUGGCGAAGGCGGCUGUCUGGUCUGUAACUGACGCUGAAGCUC
rnacentral:rRNA from 2 species